rnacentral:rRNA from 1 species
GACGAACGCUGGCGGCGUGCUUAACACAUGCAAGUCGAACGGAAAGGCCCUGCUUGCCGGGUACUCGAGUGGCGAACGGGUGAGUAACACGUGGGUGAUCUGCCCUGCACUUCGGGAUAAGCCUGGGAAACUGGGUCUAAUACCGGCUAGGAGCCAUUUUUAGUGUGAUGGUUGGAAAGUUUUUUCGGUGUUGGAUGAGCUCGCGGCCUAUCAGCUUGUUGGUGUGGUAAUGGCCUACCAAGGCGGCGUCGGGUAGCCGGCCUGGGAGGGUGGACGGCCACAUGGGGACUGAGAUACGGCCCAGACUCCUACGGGAGGCAGCAGUGGGGAAUAUUGCACAAUGGGCGCAAGCCUGAUGCAGCGACGCCGCGUGGGGGAUGACGGCCUUCGGGUUGUAAACUCCUUUCGCUAGGGACGAAGCUUUUGUGACGGUACCUAGAUAAGAAGCACCGGCUAACUACGUG